rnacentral:misc_RNA from 1 species
GAAAUGCGAUAAGUAAUGUGAAUUGCAGAAUUCAGUGAAUCAUCGAAUCUUUGAACGCACCUUGCGCUCCUUGGUAUUCCUUGGAGCAUGCCUGUUUGAGUAUCAUGAAAUCUUCAAAGUAAAUCUUUUGUUAACUCAAUUGGUUUCUACUUUGGUAUUGGAGGUCUUUGCAGCUUCACACCUGCUCCUCUUUGUUCAUUAGCUGGAUCUCAGUGUUAUGCUUGGUUCCACUCGGCGUGAUAAGUUAUCUAUCGCUGAGGACACUGUAAAAUGUGGCCAAGGUAAAUUCAGAUGAACCGCUUCUAAUAGUCCAUUGACUUGGACAAUACUUUUAUGAUCUGAUCUCAAAUCAGGUAGGACUACCCGCUGAACUUAAGC